CGCUCCCUCCCCCAUCUCUGUUCUGAGCCGGAGGCCUUCCAAGGGACCCUGUUAAUAAUUAAAUGUUAAUCUAAAAAGCAAUUUGAGCUGCGGCUAGGCAGAUCUGGUUAGAGAUUACAUUAGCAUGGAGGAGGCGAGGGUAAUUUUCUUUAACCCCUCUCCUGAUCUCUCAAGCCGGGGAUUCUUCAAGUCACACCGGCACUGCUGAUUAAACUGGCACAGGGCUUGGCUGUGGAUAAGGGGCCUGUGAAAAGUGAUUAUUUCCCACUGCCAUUUGGGCCUCAGCACCAGAAGGGGAUUUUUACCUUUUUUUUUUUUUUUUAAGGUUGGGGGCUGGGGAGGUACUGUCCCCUUGAAUAGGAGGCCUCAUCUUCUGCCAGAAUUACCACUGUAUCUGUCCCCACCCCAGCAGGCCAGGGGCUCUCUAAAAUGCUGCAAAUCUUGUCACAGAGCAUACCUGGCUCUUUGGUUUCUAGGACAAAGAUGCCAGUCCCCUGCCUGGCUCCAACACCCCUCCAUUGUGCCUGGUUCUGGGCUGGGCACUAGAGCCAGAGAUGCUGGCAGUUCUGAGCCAAAGGGGAGACCAAAAAGUAAAGUGACAAUCACCAAUUCUGGCUGGCAGCCAGAGUCCUGAGGUGGGCUUCCCUCUGCACAAGACUCUCACCUGCACACUUGCAGGCUUUGGCCCAUGCAAUCCCAAGAGCCAGGAAGGACUUUUGAGCAGAAGGACUGCUCAAAAGCCCUUUCUGGCUCUCUACCCCUUAAAACUCAACUCGACCUUCAAUUGGAGUCCGGGUUCCUGAGGGCUUCUCCAAGACAUACAAGGUACAUAAUAAAUGUUUGAUGAAUCGUCAAAUGACUGGAGUCCCAUGUGGCUCUCCUUGAUCCUUCCUCUAUGGGUUCACGGUGCUACAGCAGUGCCUGAGCACAGGGCCCUCAGGAAAACGUCUCCUGAACAAAGGAUGGGCAAGAGGCUGUCCUAGGGAGUUGGGGCAGGGUGGGCCUCAGGAAGUGUCCUACUGGGACACACAGCUGGGGUCUGGGGGUAGGUGGCCAUUCCUGGGCCUGUCAGCACCACGGCCAGCUCCCGGCGCAAGAGCCCUGGAGAAAGGGGCGGGGUACAGCCUGAGAGCAUAGUGAUGUCAGUCGCCAUGGGAACUGACAACUGCGAUGUGCCUCCGUCAGCACUCCAACCACUGGGGACGGCAUGACAGAUUAAACACCAACUAUGUGCCAGGCCAGGCCCUGUGCUAGAUGCUGGGGCAGUGACAGACCCUGAGUGGAUGGGAGGCAUCAGAGGGGUAAGUAGGAAAAAGCUAGGGGAAGGGAAGGAUCCCACAGAAGGGACUGCACAGGCCACCACAUGGAGACUUGAGAGAGAGGAGCAAACAGAGAACAUGAAGGAGCUCCAGGCUGCUGGAGAGCAAACCCUCCUGCAAAGAAUGAGUGGGGAGAUCUGAGAAUCGAUACUGAACAGCUUCAGUACUACGAUGUCAUAAUGGGGCUGUGAGCUCAGCCGAAAGCCCCCCGCCCAGUUUUUUUUGGAAGUGGUCAUAGAAUCUCUCUGGAGAAACAACAUGGAAAUGGAGACCAAAAGAGGGAAGGAGGGAUGCCACCAGAUGACACUGGGAUCCCGGAAGACGGAACACUGUGUGCAACGGGCAAAGAACUUUUCAAAAGGGAUUUCAACCUCUGACCACCUGGAGACAGGCGACUGGCGCUCAUUGUAAAUGCACCGACAUGACAGGGAACAGCUGCUGGGGAGGUGGAGACGGGUGCCGGGAGAGACAGGAAACCCCAGAGGCUUGGAAAUCCAGGAGCCACAGGAAGCAGUGAGCUUUCUGCGGAGCCGGAUCCGGUGGAGCCAAUUCACCAGCAGGUCCCGGCAGCAACUCUUCUACAACAGAUUCCUGCCCGUCCCUGUGCCCCAUCGCCCCCCUGCCGUCAAUCUCCACCUCAAGGGAGCCAGACCAAGCCUUUCUGUGUGUAGCGCACAUCUCUCCUGCGUAGAGCUCACCUAGUGGCUUCCAUAGCUUUUUUUUUUUUUUUUU
rnacentral:lncRNA from 1 species